rnacentral:snRNA from 1 species
GUGCUUGCUUUGGCAGCACAUACACUAAAAUUGGAAUAACACAGAGAAGAUUGGCAUGGUCCCUGUGCAAGGAUAACAAAACACCAAAACAAAACAGUAUGGUAUUG